UACGUAGGGGGCAAGCGUUGUCCGGAAUUAUUGGGCGUAAAGCGCGCGCAGGCGGUCAUUUAAGUCUGGUGUUUAAGGCCAAGGCUCAACCUUGGUUCGCACUGGAAACUGGGUGACUUGAGUGCAGAAGAGGAGAGUGGAAUUCCACGUGUAGCGGUGAAAUGCGUAGAUAUGUGGAGGAACACCAGUGGCGAAGGCGGCUCUCUGGGCCUUUCCUGACGCUGAGACGCGAAAGCGUGGGGAGCGAACCGG
rnacentral:rRNA from 1 species